GGUGCUCGAGCUGUGGUGCGUGCCGCUAAGUUGUGCGUUCCAGGGUGCACUCGCCGGCGAGGCUGCACGGCGCCGGUUUCAUUGCUAAAAUCCGACGGACUUGUUGCAGAACUCGUUUUUUUUGUCGGGAAAGGGCUUCCCCGUGUAACUUUACAGCAGUUAUCGUAGAUAAGACUUGCAAAUUACAGAUGUGGACGGUGAGGGAACGGGAAUUUCACUGAAAGCGCCUGAGAACCAGUAAGAGACCUGCAACAGCUUUGUGCUCCACUGGCGAAUGCUUCCUCCCCUAAUACACAUUAUGUGUGCUUGGAGACACAAGGAGUAAGAUACAGCCCCUCAAGGGACUCGUCAUAGGGAGAGGACACAGCUUUGGGAAUAAAGGGGCCACAAAGGAGGAGAGAGGAGUUUGCUGAAACUUCCCAAGCUCCCAUUCCAGCAGUUCCUGAAGGAUUCAUUUCUCUCUGAGGAUCUCAUGAGGUGGCUUAGCAGCUAGAAUCUCUUCCUUAACAGUGGGAAGAACAACUCCUGGAAAUUUAGGUCGACUUUGACUGGAUUUAAAAGAAAGCUGUACAAUUCCACUUCUGUAUAUACAACCAAAGGAAAUGAGAUGUGCAUACCCAUGUUCAAUGAAGCAUUAUUCACAAUAGCCAAAAUGUGGAACCAAUCCUUAAACAAAAGGAAAACAGAAAAUCUGCUCAAGUCCCUGCAGGCACCUGAGAAAAUCACAACCCACACUUGCGAACCCCUAGGAGACCUAAAGCUGUGGUUUUACAAAUAAACAGAUAAGUAACAUUCCUACUCUUUCCUAUAGGUACUCAAUCUUCUUAACAACUCCCAUCCCACACAGGUUUGCAUCCCCAGCAGAUACAUAUGGCUAUGUGGUCACCCAUUCGAUCAGCCUAUAAAAGACUUGUCUUAUUUGAUAUUGUGAAACCCAUGGUUAUCAGUGUAUAUGAAAAUGUUUGGUUCAGGGGUCAAUGUACAAUAUGACAAGCAAAGUCCUCUAAUACACAGUUAUAUAAAAUCACUCACCUGAGAGCCAAGUGGACAAUUGGCCUUAUAUUGGCUGGAGUUGGAGCCCCAGAGGGAAAAUUUGCCUAUUAUUAGGCAACUCUUCAAAACUUUACUUAUUCGUUUCUAAACACUGUCUCAUAAAAUGGGGGAUGCUUUAGAUGAAUUAAGAUUAGCACUAGAUUACUUAUUCGUUGAAAAUUAGCACUAGAUUUCUUAUUGGUUGAACAAGGAGGAGUGUGCACCAUAAUCAAUAUAACCUGCUGCAGUUAUGUAAACACCUCAGGUCACAUAGAAGAAGAUAUACAGAAAAUACAUGAACAAGCUGUGUGGUUGCGUAAAUAUAACCAAGGCACCAAUCCCAACUGUAUCUGGUCAGCCAUUAGAAGCACCCUCCUGAGUCUCACUUGGUUGUUGCCCUUCCUAGGAACUUUGAUAGUUGUCUUAUUAUUAAUCUUUGGCCCUUGCUUGUUUAAAUUCUUGGUAAAGUUUGUGUUUUUUAGAUUACAACAAUUCCACAUAAAGAUGAUACUGACACAAAGCUUCCAAUCCAUCCCGUCUUCUGAACCGGGAAAUAAAGACACCCUGCCUUUAGGUGUCUUUAGAUCUAGAUCAGGCAUCUAGAGAUUUUUACUCCUCCAAUACUUGGCAGGGUCUAUGCCCGUAGACUCAUCAGGAUACCAUGUAAAUGAGGACCUCCCUUGGUACCCCAGAGGCCAACUGUAGACCCUUAUGAGAAAAUCCUGUCCCCAAAAUGAACAUCCACUGUCAGCAGGAAGAAGUUACAGAAGACCAGCCUUUGCCCUUACGAUUAAGGGUCCUCUUGUAAGUAGAGAGGGGAAUGUUAGGAAAGCAGGAGCCUAGGUGAUCCAGAGUGACACCAUUUUAAAAUAAACUCCACCUGAAAACUAGCAAGGCAUCUGCACACAUCUGUUUAGCAAGUAUAUACUUCUGUAACUGGAAUAAAAAGCGUUAUUUUAGAAUAUGCCUAUAGUUUGUAAUAAUUAGCCGAGGGAAAAAAAGUUCACAUUGGUGUAGGAAAAGUGCCCUAAUGGUCAUGGGUAAUAAUGGGACCGUGGUUCUGGUCAGUGAUUUGAUGGAAGGGGUGUAGAUAAUAUAUUGUUGUAAAUAAUAAAAAUAAAAAAUUGUUGUAAGUAAUAAAAAUAAAAUAAUAUUGUUGUAAGUAAUAAAGUAGGAGAAAUAUUUGGUCUUUUGCUUUUGGGUUAGUGCAACAGUAGUACCAUUACUUGGAGGAGAAGUUAGAGAAGGACAAGAAUAGGCUUGAAUAAGAUGAGUGAGAAGAGAGAAAAAUUCCGUAAGUGGAGAUGGCCAGGGAACACCAGGGCAGCAGAAUCUAACUCUGAAUUUAAUGCUGUUGUCUGUUCAUAUUGCACUGCGCUGUAAUCUCCCUAUCUUUCCUAAACCAUUGGCAAAGUCUGCUAUCCACUGGGGCCUUGGGUCGGUGGUGCUUUGGGAAAUACCAGAAGAGGGAAAGUACGGCAAAUGUGCAGUGUCACAGAUGAUAGGAGGAAAGCUGGCCAGUGGGAUGAUUAAAACAAUUUCGGUGGGAGUGGGAAUUCAGACCAUGUAAAUGGUCUGAAUUAAGAAAAUUUCAAGAAACAAAAAAUGUUUCUAAUGAGCCAAAGUGAAAGCUCUUCAUGAUUUCUUUAUAGAGGCUCUCUAGUGCUUGUCCUAAUUUCCUGAAAUCUCAUGGGUAUCUUACUCUCCUGGUGCCCGCCUCAAACAUUCACUGUAGCAAUUAUAUGAGCAGCCUAGAGAAUCCCAAUCCCAGUGGUCUUGCUCCCUGGAUCUACUUUCUCUUAAAAAUCAUUCCCCUAAGUUUCCGUCACUUGGUUGAAGUUUAGUAGAUAUCUCCACAUCUCCAGCUAGAACAGCACCAGAAUUUCAGGACUAGGGCAAUAGAGUCUGAUAUUAAAUUCUAUUUCUAUCUAUCUAUCUAUCAUCUAUCUAUCUAUCUAUCUAUCUAUCUAUCUAUCUAUCUAUCUAUCUACAGAACAAUUUGUGGGAUAGUAGCUUUGGGGUCCCAGAUCUAGGAUGGGCCUGGUCCUCCAUGCUGGUUCUCCUGGGUGAUAUUUCUGUUAGUUUGAACAGUAAUCACACUUUUAUUACUGUUUCAUCUUUUUUUUUUCACUCUUAGACUGAUUUUAUCAUGUGUAUAAAACAUACACACACCUACAUCUCAAGGAUAAACAUUAAUCCUUGAAAAAUAUGUGGUCUAAAACUAUAUUGAGGAGAGAAAGAUAGGACACUUUAAUUGCCACAUGAUUAACACGAGGUCACCACACAGCUUUCACAAAUCUACAAGUCAUUCUAUUUAGGCUGAGUCAAGUUCUCCCUUGGGCCAGCCAGAGCACAAAUAAUGGAGCAAUGUGACUCUUCAAUGACAGAUCUCUGAUUUCCAGAAAAGAGACUUUGAAAUACCCAAUUCUAGUAAAUAUGCAAUUAAAUUUCCAGCUAAAUGACCUUUGCUCCUGUAGUCUUCAUCUUGGGGAAGGGAAAGAAGUCUUAUUCUGUUUAAUAGUUUGAUUUUUAUAAUAGGGUUUGUCUCUGUUAUAAAUCUUGUUUGAUAUUUAAAAUGUUAGCUAAGAGAAAACUUCUGUUUGUUUUUAUUUAGUGGGAAGAAACUAACCCUCAUUGAGUGCCUAGUUAACAUCAGGCACUUUGUACACAUAAUCAAUUGAAUCUUGACCACAACCCUGUGAGGUGAAAAAUGAGAAGAUUAAAUAAGCCAUGGGAAGAUUUUUUAAAAUGACAUGAAACUCCAAGGGUAAAAAGUAGGCAUUUCCACCUUUCCCUGCUUCAUCCAUACCUCCAAAAACAGAACCCUUCAAAGAACGUCCUGAGAAGAACAACUGGCCACUGAUUUUGAGUUGAACACUGGCAGGCAACACCCCAACAACCACACAGACCCCAUAGCUCUCAUUGCAGGAGGCGAGGGCAGCUGCCUGUUAGAAAGUGAUGCAAUACAGUAUAGGGGUUAAAAGAUGUAUGUGAGGAUUGAGCCUACAUCUUAAUUUCAGCUUAACUCCUAAAUGGUCUAUGACUUUCUUUUCUGAUUCUCCCUAUUCUCAUUUGAAGUAACAUUUAUCUUGUAAGGAUGCUAUGAAACACAUAUAAGACGUUGUAUGUUGCUUAGUAUAGUACCUGGCACUUUAGGACUCAAUAAAUGGAAAUAACAAAAAUGAAAAUAGUAAAAACAUCCACAGUAGUGAUAAUAAUAAAAAUAAUUUUUAUAAAAAUUAUUACUGAUGCAGGUGGCUGGUAAGAAUUGACAUUUUUCUUUUAGACAUCUAAGAAGACAGAUAUUUAUAUAAUAAGAUGAUAGCAAAGUGAGAAACAGAUACCGUUACAUUCGUUAUGUUCAAAGGCUAUUUCUCAGAGUAAGAGUGUGAGAAAGGUUUUGCUGUUUCUUCUUACAG
rnacentral:lncRNA from 10 species